rnacentral:tRNA from 1 species
CGCAGGAUGGAGCAGUUUGGUAGCUCGCCAGGCCCAUAACCUGGAGGUCGAUGGAUCGAAGCCAUCCCCCGCAACCA